GUCCUUGUAGUUUAAUGGAUAGAACACGGGCCUCCGAAGCUCGCGAUGCAGGUCCGAUUCCUGCCAAGGGCA
rnacentral:tRNA from 1 species